rnacentral:misc_RNA from 1 species
AGUAUCCACGCGCUAGCUAGGCUUGGGCGUCGCCCCCUCGUUUGUCGACCGGCGCGGCGGCGAGAGACGCACCGUGUCGCCGUGUCGGUGCCGAUCGAGAUGUCUACUUCUCCGUCGUCUCACAAGCGUGGCCGCGAGCGCGACGUCGACGCUGUGUCGUCGGCACUGUGGGUCCGGAUGGACAAGGAGUUCCUCGCCACCCAAGGUCUUCUUAAGAGAGCCAAGCUCUUGCCCCGUCUCCGUUCCGCUGGCCCCUCCGCCGCCGACAAGAAGAACUGCGCGCCAGCGCUAGCGUCACGACGAUCAGGGGCUCCUGCAGUUGUGCCGUCGACAGCACCAAAGAGGGAGACGUCGUCGCAACCCAAGGCAGCAACGGAGGCUGCGGAUCGGACUCGGAUCGCCGCACCAGCAGCGAAUACGAAGCAGCAGCAGCGCGCAGGCGCAGCCGCCAAGAACCCGAUCCCUCCGGCAGUUCGUCCUAGCAAGAACCUGCCACCGGCCGAGGCACCAGCAGCAGCGAAUUCGAAGCAGCAGCAGCGCGCAGGCGCAGCCGCCAAGAACCCGAUCCCUCCGGCAGUUCGUCCUAGCAAGAACCUGCCACCGGCCGAGGCACCAGCAGCAGCGAAGCAGCAGCACCCGCGGUCCAGCGUGCAGUUGCUGCCGAGACGGAGAAGUCGGCGCUGCCUGAUGAGAUGGAGAAGUCAAGGAAGGAGUUCCGCCAGAUGCUGGAGGAGAUGGAGAAGUCGGCGCUGCCUGAUCAGACGAUAUACCCACAGGACCUCUCGGCCUCACGCCAGUCGAACAUGUCGUGACGAGGACGAGGAAGCAGGCAUGGUUGGAAGACCACGCCAAGCGCUUCAGAUCACUUCGUAGCUAGGCAGGCGUUUAUCGUUUGAUCCUUGAUCGUUGGAUCUAGAUUAGAUGGACAAUGUUUUACGUCUAGAAAUAAAACAAAAAUUAGGUAUCUGCCGUUUAAUAAUUCCCUGUUCUCUAGAGUCUUGCUGGAGAAAUCAUGGUAAAAUGAAAGAUGCCAGCAGUUAAAAAAAAUCGAACGGCUCCGGUUGUUUACUUCGGCCGUUGUUUGUUCUUUAAACAAUUUGUUGGAAAAAUACACGGGCCUCCCA